UCAAAAACGACUCUCGGCAACGGAUAUCUCGGCUCACGCAUCGAUGAAGAACGUAGCAAAAUGCGAUACUUGGUGUGAAUUGCAGAAUCCCGUGAAUCAUCGAGUUUUUGAACGCAAGUUGCGCCCAAAACCAUCCGGUUGAGGGCACGCCUGCCUGGGCGUCACAC
rnacentral:rRNA from 1 species